rnacentral:rRNA from 1 species
GAUGAACGCUGGCGGCAGGCUUAACACAUGCAAGUCGAGGGGAAAGGACGGGGUAGCUUGCUUCCCCGGGGGUCGACCGGCGAACGGGUGAGUUACGCGUAUCCAACAUGCCUCUGAAUGAGGGAUAACACGCCGAAAGUCGGCCUGAUACCGCAUGGCAUCGUCUGCGGGCGUCCAACGACGUUUAAAGAUUUCAUCGGUCACAGAAGGGGAUGCGUCUGAUUAGCUUGUUGGCGGGGUAACGGCUCACCAAGGCGACGCUCAGUAGGGGUUCUGCGAGGAGGCGCCCCCACAAUGGGACUGUCACCCGGUCCAAGCCCCUACGGCAGGCAGGAGUGCGGAAGGUUGCAGAAGGGGCGAGUGCCCGAACCUGCCAAGUAGCGUGCAGGAUCACGGCCGUAUGGAUGGUGAACUGCUUUUAGGCGGGGAUAAAGUGAGGGGCGGGAGCUUCAGUGCCGGUACCGGAUGAAUAAGCACCGGCUAACUCCGUG